CCUACGGGCGGCAGCAGUGAGGAAUAUUGGUCAAUGGACGAGAGUCUGAACCAGCCAAGUAGCGUGAAGGAUGACUGCCCUAUGGGUUGUAAACUUCUUUUAUAUGGGAAUAAAAUGUUCCACGUGUGGGAUUUUGUAUGUACCAUAUGAAUAAGGAUCGGCUAACUCCGUGCCAGCAGCCGCGGUAAUACGGAGGAUCCGAGCGUUAAUCGGAAUUACUGGGCGUAAAGGGCUCGUAGGCGGUAUGUCAAGUCAAGGGUGAAAUCCCCGCGCUCAACGUGGGAACUGCCUUUGAAACUGGCAAACGGGAGUGUGAGAGAGGAAAGUGGAAUGCGAGGUGUAGGAGUGAAAUCCGUAGAUAUCGGGAGGAACAUCAGGGGCGAAGGCGACUAUCUGGCACAUAACUGACGCUGAGGAGCGAAAGCGUGGGUAGCGAACAGGAUUAGAUACCCGUGUAGUC
rnacentral:rRNA from 1 species